GACGAACGCUGGCGGCGUGCUUAACACAUGCAAGUCGAACGGAAAGGCCCUGCUCUUGCGGGGCGCUCGAGUGCCGAACGGGUGAGUAACACGCGAGUAACCCGCCCUUGUCUUUGGGAUAACUUCAGGAAACUGGGGCUAAUACCGGAUAGGAGCUCUUGCUGCACGGUGGGGGUUGGAAAGUUUCGGCGGUUGGGGAUGGACUCGCGGCUUAUCCGCUUGUUGGUGGGGUAGUGGCUUACCAAGGGUUUGACGGGUAGCCGGCCUGGGAGGGUUACCGGCGACAUUGGGACUGAGGGACGGACCAGACUCGUACGGGAGGCAGCGGUGGGGAAUAUUGCACAAUGGGCGGGAGCCUGAUGCGGCAACGCCGCGUGCGGGAUGACGGCCUUCGGGUUGUGAACCGCUUUCGCCUGUGACGAAGCGUGAGUGACGGUAAUGGGUAAAGAAGCACCGGCUAACUACGUG
rnacentral:rRNA from 1 species